AAUGCGCAGUCGAUCUCGCGACUUACGCGUGAUCGCGAUAACAAAUCUAUCUUUUUUUCAGUUGUAUUUUCCGUGCGUGAACUGCGCUACAUACAUUCGUAGGUUAGGAGGGAGAAAACGAGAAGAAGCAAAACAUAAAAAGUGAACUUUUGAACGGACGCAUUAUUCAGCAUUAUUAGCUCACACGAUCUGCGUAUUGUUUAUUCGGCGCCACGACGUGCGCAGUAGUGCGCGCGUGGCCGAGCGCGAGGUACAGUCCGUUUGGGUAGAGGUAAGCACAGAGUGUUCGUAGUUCAUUGUAGUUGCAUCGAGACUCCGAUGAUUAAUGUCACGGUCAGCUGUGCUGUUGUUCAGUGUGCGCUGCCCUCGUCAAGACACGCCGAACCGAGAGAUGUGCGAAAUUUGCUGAGGGACGUCGCACGCGCCCGUUUAUCGACGUAUUACAGGCGUAUUCGGCGCGCUUCGCCAAGAUGGUAGAGCCUAUCUUCGAUUACCAGUUUCGACUGAUACUGAUUGGCGACAGUACAGUCGGGAAGAGUUCUCUCCUCAAGUAUUUCACCGAUGGCAAGUUCGCGGAGCUUUCAGAUCCAACAGUUGGUGUAGACUUUUUUGCGAGGUUAAUAGAAGUUAAAGAUGGUACAAGGAUAAAAUUACAAUUAUGGGAUACAGCUGGUCAAGAAAGAUUUAGGUCAAUUACAAAAUCUUACUACAGGAAUUCUGUAGGAGCACUUCUUGUGUACGACGUUUGUAAUAGAGCAAGCUUUGAGCAUAUACCUCAAUGGAUGAUGGAAGCUCGCAGACAUAUUGAGCCGCAUCGCCCCGUUUUUGCUUUGGUAGGCUGUAAGUUAGAUUUAGUAACUAAUGGCGGUAGACGGGAAGUCUCGAAAGAAGAAGCCAGAGCAUUUGCUGAUGAACAUGGUGUACAUCAUAUUGAGACCAGUGCAAAAACUGGUAUAAAUGUUGAAGAAGCGUUUCGAACGGUUACUCAAGAAGUUUAUAACAGGAUACAAACUGGUGAAUACAAAGUAGAAGAUGGUUGGGAUGGCAUCAAAACUGGAUUUGCCAGGCCUGGUGGUUUAGAUUUUAAUCUAGUCGAGGCAGAACCAGCAAAGACUUCGUGUUGUUAAGUCGUUAUUUUGAUUAUAGCUUUUUGAUUCACUAAAACAAGUAAAAAACAAAAAAGAUUUAAGAGAAUGCAGAUAGAAGAGUUAUUUCAAAGAAAAUAUUGUGAAUAUAUAAUUUCAUUGAAAGUGAAUGUAUAUUGUCUUGUCAUUUACAUACUUAUAUGCUUCAGAUUGUAAAGUCAUUUAUUACAUUAAUAUAGAUUGCUCUAUUUGCAUAUUAUUUUAUCCUGUUACAUAGCCACAUGUUACAGACACAAAUUUUUUUAUUCAUAUGACAGAUAACUUUCUUCUGCAUUCUUGUUUUAGGGAAAAGACUAACAAUUGAAAAUUAUGUAUACAUCUGGGUUAGACAUUUUUGUAUAUAAAUAUAUAAAUAUCAAGCGACUAACAAAAUUCAUAGUUUCGUAUAGUAUAAUUAAAGAUUGUUAAAAGAAAGAAAACUUACAUUACAUAAAUACAAGCAUUCUAAAAGACGUGAUUCUUCAAUUAUGAAUUGAAAAGAUGUCAAUUCACUUUUAUGUCCCCCA
rnacentral:misc_RNA from 1 species